CCUACGGGAGGCAGCAGUGAGGAAUAUUGGUCAAUGGACGGAAGUCUGAACCAGCCAUGCCGCGUGCAGGAAGACGGCUCUAUGAGUUGUAAACUGCUUUUGUACAAGGGUAAACCUGAAUACGUGUAUUCAGCUGAAAGUACUGUACGAAUAAGGAUCGGCUAACUCCGUGCCAGCAGCCGCGGUAAUACGGAGGAUCCAAGCGUUAUCCGGAUUUAUUGGGUUUAAAGGGUGCGUAGGCGGAUUGAUAAGUUAGAGGUGAAAUGACGGAGCUUAACUCGGGAACGGCCUCUAAUACGGUUGUUCUAGGGAGGAGAUGAGGUAGGCGGAAUGGAUGGUGUGGCGGUGAAAUGCUAGAGAUCAUACAGAACACCGAUUGCGAAGGCAGCUUACCAAUCUAUAUCUGACGUUGAGGCACGAAAGCGUGGGGAGCAAACAGGAUUAGAUACCCGAGUAGUC
rnacentral:rRNA from 1 species